rnacentral:lncRNA from 1 species
UCAGUAGAAUGUGGAUGCUCAUGAGAAAGGUUUGCUGAGCUGAGCCGUGGGUUGAACAAGGAACACGAUUCGUUGUAGUGGAUUCCGUGAAUCCAACUUCACGAGUUGGGCCUUAUUGGUUGUUGGGAGUAGUUUUCAGACAAAAAAAUGAUUAAAAUAGGUUGGGUUGAGUCUUCAGUUCUCUCUCCUCCUCUCACCAUGCCCAGUUGUUCAGAGAAGAACGAGCAUCUCCCUAGAAGGAAACUCUAGCUUCCUCCACCGUGACUGCCACUGUUGAGCUUCUCACUGUUGCUGUCAGUCGCGCCGGAGAUAUUCGUCUGUUCGUUCUGCUCCAGACCUGCGCCUCAAUCACCAGUCACAAGGAAAGUCAAUUUGUUGUGUUUGGAAAACAACAUAUGCCUAACCAGUGUGCAUUUAUGGAAUAGGUUUUGGUUUUUAUGCUCGAUGUAAAUUGAUCAAAACUAGUCUGAAUUUAAAGUUGGUAAAUCCAUUACACAAUCCAAAUAGAUAUAGGCCUAAUUGAUGUCACUGGACAACUAGAUAUCUUUAGUUUAUUGAAUUGAAGAUUUGAUUACUAUUUUUAGGGGAAAAAAUAUAAACACUGAUGUUGAAAAUUUGUUAACUAAA